UGUUACUUGUUGUUUUGUUUCCCUUUAACACUAUCAAUUUAGAAGUUUCUCUCUGACAAGUGUUUAGGAAGCUCCGUUUUUGUUAGCAAAGGUAUCCUGCUGCUGAGGAAUAAAUUGCUAUCAACAAGAUGGUCACUUUAAACCCUUUUUGCACACUGAUCAUUGUGUUUUCUAGGCUGUCCAGCUUUAAAAUAAGUAUGACUAAAAAAUAGAAAAACUUAAUUCUUAUUCAAAUUAUCUCAUUUCCCUAUUUAUAUUUUUAAAAUACAAACACAGAAAUCUGUUGACUCCCAGAUGUGGGUAUGAUAUCCCCAUGUUAAUAAUCUUUGUUAGAACUUGUACCUUAGAUUUGGGGGGGAAAAGUCCACCUAUUGAUGAUCCCUUAAAAUCCUUCAAAGUUCUUGAUGAACUUAGGGUCAUUUUUCCAAUCAGAAAACUAAGAAUAAAUGUUCCUCAGCCUGCCCUGCUGGCCUUAAUUUACGUAUCAGCUUACGUAUCUCGGCGCUUGACUCUCCUGCUUGACUGAGUGAACAAACUGCUGUAUUGGGCACAGUGUUAGGGUCAGCUUAGAUCAUGGACCUUGUUCUAUAUGUAAACAUCAAACUCUUACCACAGAGCUAUGAUAAAGCAUUACAUCUCCGUUGGAAUCAAAGGGUUGCUUUUUCCCACUUCUGUUUCUUAUGAAGGACUUUAGGUCAUUAAAUGUCCGUUCUCAUUCUUUUAACAGGUUUGAGGUUUUUUUUUUUUAGUUAAUCCAAAGACAUAAUGCUUUAAAGUGUGCAAAUUAUAGUUUUAUCGAUUACCUCAGCAGGUAUCCUGCCAUGUAAUUAUUAGUGGUUUAAUGCUAGUAAGCUAACAGAUUCAGGUCUUCCGUCUAUGCCCUUAAGUUGUGGCUUACCACUUGUUUUUUCUAAAAUGUGGAUGGGGAAUAGAUGCUGUAGUCUCCUCUCCCUUAGCCUUUACAUCUGGUACCCAGCCUCAUUCACGUACACGUAAAGUAGCCAGCAUCAGAUUGGGUCAGUAAAUAGUUUUGUUAAUUAAAAAAAUUAAGAAGACAAAAGACUACCCUCCCUGAGUUGAAACAGCUUCUUUGAGUGAGCUGGGGAGAUGACAUGGGUAAAAAGCACGUGUUCCACAAGCAUGAGGCUCUAACUUUGAAUCCCCAGCACCUACAUACAGGUGGGUGCAGUAGUGUGUAUCUGUAAGCCCGGGGCUCCCACGGAAAGGUAGGCAGAGGUAGUCUCCAGAAGCCCAUUGGCCAGCUAGCCUGGCCUACUCAGUGCUGAGUCCCCGAAGUUGUUCUCUGACCUGCACCCUAGCACAUGCGCCCUCACACACAACAUACACCCUGGUGUACAUGCCAUCACACAACUUGUGAGUAUAUACACCACACAUGUGCCCUCAAAACGUACAAGUGGAUACACCAUUUUUGCCUCCUUACUAAUUAUCUGCUGAAGGUGUUUAAGAUUUUUAAAGUGUAUUGAAGUUGGAUCAUAAACCUAACCUAGACGUUAACUUGUUUCUCUCAGUUAAUACUUCCUUGAUAAAGCAAUAACACUGCUUCGAGUCUGUUGCCUAGUAAAUAGCAUGUCAUGAUCCUUCCGGAUGGUGAUUUUAUAGGAAAGUUUGUAUGCACAUCACCCAAUCUAUCUUUUAAAAAAAAUUAAGAAAUUUAAAUGUAUGCUGGAAGUAAUGACCCUAUAUUGUGGCAUUUUAUUUUAAAAAAUUGGGGAAAAUUGCAUAUUUUUUUAAAAGUAGCUGUUUGAGUAAAAAAAAAACUGAAGGUACUUUUUUAAGGAAAAAAUUUAUAUGCCACAGUUUACAUAGACAUUUCCAAUAUCAGCAUUUACUCUUGGAUACAAUGGCUUCUUUACUUGGCUAAAUGCAUGUUUUCUUUGGUCAAAAGUGCAUCUCUGAGAUCUUAGUUACUUAUGUUUCCUUACAUUAUCCUUCAUAUAUUUUUAUUGUAUCUAGAAACAAUUAUCUUUAAAAAAUAAGCUGGGCAUAUUUGUCAAACUACAGAAUGUAUAGAAUCAAGGUUAUCCCUUUUCUAGCAAGUGUUAUUUAAAACUGAAAAUGAUACUUGUUACAUUCAAGAGAUUUCUACGAAGGCACCAAAAUGAUUUUUAAAUGUCACAAUGCUCCAUUUGUGGCUAAAUUUCAUUGUUUAGAAUGCCUGCUCCUGCUCUGAAAAAUGUAGGCAUUUACUAUGCUUUAACGCAGUGAGUGAUAGAUGCACACCUGUAAUAUGAGGUGUGCGCAAUUAGAAAGCCUGUUGAUUUUCUACGUGGACAUAUACCUACACACAAAGGAUUAAACUCACAGCCUUACGAGUUCCUUGCUUCCAGGAUUUCAACUGGUCUCCCCUCAUUACUACUAUUUUUGCACAUAGUUAAACUACCCUUCAGAAUGGUUCUUUAAAAGUGCUGUUUCUGUGGUAUUGUAUUCUCUAAAUGAUCAUAUUUAAUUUUUUAAACAAGGUUACAAUUUCUAAUUGUUCUGUUCCUGUGUUUUUUGCUGAGUGUAAUAAAAGCAAAUUUUUUCUUUUUAUGGUUAUUUAAUACAUUAGCUGCCUGUAAAUAAUUCUUGUUACAAUGCUCUGGAAUGUGUUGUAGAAGUUGUACUAGAUUAGUUUGAAGCCUUGUUUAAAACCCACAUUGUUUUGGCUAUUUCUAUUAAAUCUAGAAAAUUG
rnacentral:lncRNA from 1 species